rnacentral:rRNA from 1 species
GACGUAGGGUGCGAGCGUUGUCCGGAAUUACUGGCGUAAAGAGCUCGUAGGUGGUUUGUCGCGUUGUUCGUGAAAACUCACAGCUUAACUGUGGGCGUGCGGGCGAUACGGGCAGACUGGAGUACUGCAGGGGAGACUGGAAUUCCUGGUGUAGCGGUGGAAUGCGCAGAUAUCAGGAGGAGCACCGGUGGCGAAGGCGGGUCUCUGGGCAGUAACUGACGCUGAGGAGCGAAAGCGUGGGGAGCGAACAGGA